rnacentral:tRNA from 1 species
GCCCGCUUAGCUCAGUGGUAGAGCGCACGCUUCACACGCGUGAAGUCGUAGGUUCAAGUCCUACAGCGGGCA